UGGUGGAGCUGAGCGGGAUCGAACCGCUGACCCCCUGCUUGCAAAGCAGGUGCUCUCCCAGCUGAGCUACAGCCCC
rnacentral:tRNA from 1 species